CCUACGGGAGGCAGCAGUGGGGAAUAUUGGACAAUGGGGGCAACCCUGAUCCAGCCAUGCCGCGUGUGUGAAGAAGGCCCUCGGGUUGUAAAGCACUUUCAGUGAGGAAGAACGCCUGGUGGUUAAUACCCAUCAGGAAAGACAUCACUCACAGAAGAAGCACCGGCUAACUCCGUGCCAGCAGCCGCGGUAAUACGGAGGGGGCGAGCGUUAAUCGGAAUUACUGGGCGUAAAGCGCGCGUAGGUGGCUUGAUAAGCCGGUUGUGAAAGCCCCGGGCUCAACCUGGGAACGGCAUCCGGAACUGUCAAGCUAGAGUGCAGGAGAGGAAGGUAGAAUUCCCGGUGUAGCGGUGAAAUGCGUAGAGAUCGGGAGGAAUACCAGUGGCGAAGGCGGCCUUCUGGACUGACACUGACACUGAGGUGCGAAAGCGUGGGUAGCAAACAGGAUUAGAUACCCUUGUAGUC
rnacentral:rRNA from 1 species